rnacentral:rRNA from 1 species
GGAUGAACGCUGGCGGCGUGCCUAACACAUGCAAGUCGAGCGGCAGCGAGGGGUGCUUGCACCCUGUCGGCGAGCGGCGGACGGCUGAGUAACGCGUGGGAACGUGCCCCAAAGUGAGGAAUAACUGCCCGAAAGGGUAGCUAAUACCGCAUAUUAUCUUCGGAUCAAAGGAUUUAUCCGCUUUGGGAGCGGCUCGCGUCGGAUUAGGUAGUUGGUGAGGUAAUGGCUCACCAAGCCGACGAUCCGUAGCUGGUCUGAGAGGAUGACCAGCCAGACUGGAACUGAGACACGGUCCAGACUCCUACGGGAAGCAGCAGUGAGGAAUCUUCCACAAUGGGCGAAAGCCUGAUGGAGCAACGCCGCGUGCAGGACGAAGGCCUUCGGGUUGUAAACUGCUUUUAUAAGUGAGGAAUAUGACGGUAACUUAUGAAUAAGGAUCGGCUAACUACGUG